rnacentral:rRNA from 1 species
CCUACGGGAGGCAGCAGUGGGGAAUAUUGCACAAUGGGGGAAACCCUGAUGCAGCGACGCCGCGUGAGUGAUGAAGUAUUUCGGUAUGUAAAGCUCUGUCAGUAGGGAAGAAAAUGACGGUACCUGACCAAGAAGCUCCGGCUAACUACGUGCCAGCAGCCGUGGUAAUACGUAGGGGGCAAGCGUUAUCCGGAUUUACGGGGUGUAAAGGGAGCGUAGACGGUAGGGCAAGUCUGGAGUGAAAGGGGGGGGCUCAACCCCCGGACUGCUCUGGAAACUGGCAGGCUGGAGUGCAGGAGAGGUAAGUGGAAUUCGUAGUGUAGCGGUGAAAUGCGUAGAUAUUAGGAGGAACACCAGUGGCGAAGGCAGCUUACUAGACUGUAACUGACGUUGAGGCUCGAAAGCGUGGGGAGCAAACAGGAUUAGAUACCCGAGUAGUC